UAAUGGUCAGUUUGCUACUUCUCUCUGAUGUUUCAUGAUGUACGCCUCCCAAAUACACCGGUCAGUACCUCUUUUCCAUCGCAUCAUAAUUUCUACCCAUUAACACUGAUCCUCAUGUGUUGCCGAUAAUAGAGAAUGUUGCAGAGGAUGAAACUAUCACCGGUCAGUACCACUUCUGCGUGAUUUUGAAUAUUAGUUUAUCCAGUUCUUUUCUGUUAUUUCAGCGAUAUGGAUCAAGCAUGUUAGUAGUUGUCCUUUCAUAAUCGACAAUUACACAUUGUGUAUUUGAUUGAUCGACUCAGUACAAUCUAAAAUAGAUCAUAAAAGAGGUUUUUCCGGUGUCGGCGCUUUCUUUACACGCUUCUUAUAGGUAAAAACGAAGGUACGUGCUUUGUUGGUUUUUGGUAGAAUUAUGUAUGGACCGGGAUUACAACUUUUUUCUGUGGGUGUGUAUAUAUGAAUAUAUGAAAUAUGUAUUGAGAUCUUAGUUUAGUAUUUGCAUAACCUGUAUUUUUAGUAAUCGAUAGUACUGCGUUUUCAAUUCUUGACACUGUAAAUCAGUCGUGAAUCGUGAUCUUAUUCUUAAAUUUAGACCUAUGCCUUUGCCCUAAUAAUUUAUCUCAAUACAUAUUUAGGCUCAUGAUAUAUUUUUGAUUUUUUUUUUCAG
rnacentral:lncRNA from 1 species